GGAAGUUAAAGUCGUAACAAGGUUUCCGUAGGUGAACCUGCGGAAGGAUCAUUAUUGUAUAACCGAGGUGCGAGGGCUGUCGCUGACCCGAAAGGUCGUGCACGCCCGAGUGCCCUCACACACAUCCAUCUCACCCCUAUGUGCACCACCGCGUGGGUCCCCCUUUGGCUUGUUCGGAGGGGGGCUUACGUUUUCACACAAACUUUGUAUGCAGUGUAGAAUGUAUUUUUUGUUUUUGCGAUCACGCAAUCAAUACAACUUUCAACAACGGAUCUCUUGGCUCUC
rnacentral:misc_RNA from 1 species